AAACAAGAGGAGGCACCCCCUGAGAAUCUGGAUGUUACACCUGAGGAAGAGGAAGCAGAUGCAGGAGCACCUGAGCUUCCAGGGACUGACCUGGAAGCUGAUACCCAAGAAAUGGUGAUACUAAUGACUAAGGGUGAACGUGGAGAUAAUCCUGAAGUCAUUGGGCAACCUUAUGCAAAUCCAGAGCCCAUUGGAAUGCUGGAAGCAGGAGAAGGGAAACCACCCGUUUAAGGGAAGAUGAUCUGAAGACACACAGAUUAUUCUUUUUUUUUUUGUUCAC